rnacentral:rRNA from 1 species
CCUACGGGAGGCAGCAGUGAGGAAUAUUGGUCAAUGGCCGUAAGGCUGAACCAGCCAAGUCGCGUGAAGGAAGAAGGAUCUAUGGAUUGUAAACCUCUUUUAUAGGGGAAUAAAGGUAUCCACGUGUGGCUAUUUGCAUGUACCCUAUGAAUAAGCAUCGGCUAACUCCGUGCCAGCAGCCGCGGUAAUACGGAGGAUGCGAGCGUUAUCCGGAUUUAUUGGGUUUAAAGGGUGCGUAGGUUGUUUUGUAAGUCAGCGGUGAAAGUUUGUGGCUCAACCAUAAGAUUGCCGUUGAAACUGGCAGGCUUGAGUGUGUUUGAGGUAGGCGGAAUGCGUGGUGUAGCGGUGAAAUGCAUAGAUAUCACGCAGAACUCCGAUUGCGAAGGCAGCUUACUAGGCCAUAACUGACACUGAAGCACGAAAGCGUGGGGAUCAAACAGGAUUAGAUACCCGGGUAGUC